rnacentral:miRNA from 10 species
UUGGCCUAAUAUUAGGUUGGUGCAAAAGUAAUUGCGGUUUUUGCCAUUGUUAAAGUAAUGGCAAAAACACAAUAAUUUUUGCGCCAACCUAGUA